AAAAGCUCAAAUUUGAAAUCUGGCACCUUCGGUGUCCGAGUUGUAAUUUGAAGAUUGUAACCUUGGGGUUGGCUCUUGUCUAUGUUUCUUGGAACAGGACGUCACAGAGGGUGAGAAUCCCGUGCGAUGAGAUGCCCAAUCCUAUGUAAGGUGCUUUCGAAGAGUCGAGUUGUUUGGGAAUGCAGCUCUAAGUGGGUGGUAAAUUCCAUCUAAAGCUAAAUAUUGGCGAGAGACCGAUAGCGAACAAGUACAGUGAUGGAAAGAUGAAAAGAACUUUGAAAAGAGAGUGAAAAAGUACGUGAAAUUGUUGAAAGGGAAGGGUUUGAGAUCAGACUCGAUAUUUUGUGAGCCUUGCCUUCGUGGCGGGGUGACCCGCAGCUUAUCGGGCCAGCAUCGGUUUGGGCGGUAGGAUAAUGGCGUAGGAAUGUGACUUUGCUUCGGUGAAGUGUUAUAGCCUGCGUUGAUGCUGCCUGCCUAGACCGAGGACUGCGAUUUUAUCAAGGAUGCUGGCAUAAUGAUCCCAAACCGCCCGUCUG
rnacentral:rRNA from 1 species